UACGUAGGUGGCAAGCGUUGUCCGGAUUUACUGGGCGUAAAGGGAGCGUAGGCGGACUUUUAAGUGAGAUGUGAAAUACCCGGGCUCAACUUGGGUGCUGCAUUUCAAACUGGAAGUCUAGAGUGCAGGAGAGGAGAAUGGAAUUCCUAGUGUAGCGGUGAAAUGCGUAGAUAUUAGGAGGAACACCAGUUGCGAAGGCUGCUCUCUGGACUGUAACUGACACUGAGGCACGAAAGCGUGGGGAGCAAACAGGAUUAGAUACCCCCGUA
rnacentral:rRNA from 1 species